UUUUUAAGGUAGAAAAUCAGCACUUCCAUUUUGUCAUCAUAUUGAAAUGAGAAGGUUUACUUUUGUAUAAAGAAAACUGUACAAACCCAGUUAAGUUUGGCCUAUGUUCCACUUGGAAUAGGAAGGAGACUGGACAACAUCAUGUUUCCACAUUAUAAUUCCUCUGGUGCCCUGGCGUGCUCUAAGUCGCAGUGGAAAUAGUUCUACUGAGUUUCUACGCUGCAGGAGAGCCUGGACAAGCUGCCCUCCCAGCACGACUAACUCCUCUGAGAGAGCCAGCAGGGAACAGAGUGCUUCAGAGCGGAUGAGUAAUGAGAAGCUUUGACAAUGAAGAGUUUGAGGCUGGGAGAAGUAAUGACACCUCCCUGGCUUCUCUCAGAGAUUCCCUCUUCUACUUUGUACUUCUCCAUCUCUGGAACUAUACAGAUGUAUUUCUGAUUUUACACCUUUCAACUGAAAGCAACAUUGGGUGGAUCUCACUUUGUGCUAGAACUCUUGCUCCCAGCUGCCUAUUCAAGAUUCUGGUUUGUGGAACCCUUUGUAAAUGAAACUUCAACCAAAAGAAAAAGGAAGAAAGAAAUUGGAAUGAUGUCAAAAUAGCAGUUCAUUUGGAGAAAGAAAAAGGAUUUUUUUUUUUUAAUUUUUUUUUUUUUUAGACAAGACAGUCUAGCAGCCAAUUUUGAAGCAUCUGGAAAAAUCACAGAUUUUUCAAAAAUUGAAGGUAAGUAAGUAAACAGUUGUUUGCUAGCCACGUGGGCCCCAGAUCCAGACAAGAUGUCACGGAUGUUAAUAGAUUUACCACUUGAUUUAUUUCAUAAGAAUUAAUGACUAAAGAUCUUGAAAGGAACAAAUGCAUGAACAAGAACAGUACUAACUCUGCUUGAUAGUGGACUGAUUUCAAAAACUGGUCAAUUUCCUUCCAGAAAAAAAAAUAUAAAUCAUGUCUCAUCUGAACUUGCCUUGGGAUUACACAUACCAGACAAUACUCAAAAUCAAACCAGAAUAAGCGAAGUGAGAACACUUACAUACAAAAGUACUUGUACAGCAGCCAAAAAAUAAUGAAUGUUGUGUCCUUAACCGACUAUUUAUACUCUGAGGUACAGCCCUUUUCUUUCAAGCUUCUCAAAAUGUUUAUAAAACAAGGUAAAUGGGAAAAAAAUGAAACAGGACAAGUAUAUAAUCACAUUAUAUUACAGUAAUAUUCAUUUGAGAUUUAACUGUAUCUUUAAACAGGAACAAAUAUCAUUAUUCAGACUGCUUAGAAAUAGUAGGUCAUCAUUUUUGGACAAGUUUGAUUUCUUCAUUCCACAAGUAGUAUCCCUAGUGACAAUUGGACUAAUCUUGGAAAAAGUAAAAUAUUCAGGCUCUAUCUUUUUGCAUAAUGACACAGUGCCAAAAAUAACAGUUCAGAAUAAAUAAUUGGUGCAAGAGAGUAAUUAGUAAAAAUAUCACUCAAUAUAAUGCUGAUAGAAAUGGGGUGAAGAUGCUGUUUGCCUUUUUAGCAAUAUGAUAGGGUUAGCAAGAUGAAUAAUGAUUGCUGUAUUAUCUUAAUAACCUGAAUUUUGAACGUGACACAGGUGUCCUAUCCAGAAAAGAUAUUUCUUGCCAAAACAGCAGAGGCUUAGGUGAAUUGCUGGAAGAAUACAAUUUAUUUUUUUUUUAAAUCAUUAUUAUUUCCAAAGAAUCAAGGAAAACAAACAAACAAACAACAACAACAAAAAACACUGUAUCAUGGGGUGGAUUAAGAAAAAUGAUCAUCUUUCAAUUUAUAGCUAUCAAAUAACCUCUUUUGGAAAUCUUCACUAUGACAGAACAGACAUGGGUAAUUACCACUAUAAACCACCCAAAAAAGAAUCUCUGUGCCCUAGACAUCUUGUAGAGCAGUAGGAAAUCAUUUUCAUCAUGGAUAUUUGCAUAAUGCCAGCCUUAAGGGCCUUAUGAUAAAGCUAUAAACAAAACAUAAGAAAUACUUUCCUCGUUUAUUCACACAUUCCCAUUACUUACAAAUCAGCCAAAUUGUCCCAUGAUAUCUACAACCCUAUCACCCAUCCUAAUGACUCCUAUUUAUAGCCCCAUGGACAGGAAUAUUAGCUGUGCUAAUGGGAGUCAUUCCUCUUUCCCAGGUCACACAAAGUGUGAGUGUGAAGAUGCCAGUUGCAACACAGAAUUUUAAGAUGGAUGAGACAUGAAGACUACCUCUAAUUGUGGUGCUUAUCCUGUGCUUAGGUGUCUAAACAGUAUACACCAUAACCAUUUAAUUCCCGAAAAUUGGAAGAUAAAAACCAUGGAGCUCAGUGCUUAACAAUCCAGUUGCACAUACACAGGACACAUAAAAUACAUGCUUUGGACAUGCCUGACACUCCCAGGGGUUCUAAUUACCAUGUACUCUCUAAAUAAUUCCAUUAAAUGUCUGCUAGAAGAGAAAAGGUUAUCAUAUGUUUGCUGAUCAGCAUGUAGCUCUUUCCCUGUAAAUACAUAUAAAUUUUCUGCUUUAGUGGUCUUUUCUUUACCUGACCAGGUAAACCAACAUUCAUUGAAUUAGUAUACCAAACAAAACUUUAUUUUACUUGGUUGCUGUGAAGUUAGCUGUCAGUUCUCUGCUUACAGCUGCUUUCUGGGUGUCAGA